rnacentral:ncRNA from 1 species
UGUCUCCUCCACCUUCUCUGACUGGUGGAUUCGCCCCGAAGCAGUCACUGCUUCGGGGCUUUUUUC